UAGCCUAGUGGUUAAGGCUAUGGAUCGCCAAUCCGAAGAUGGUGGGUUCGAUUCCCGU
rnacentral:tRNA from 1 species